GUUAUAUGGUCAAGUGAAGAAGCGCAUACGGUGGAUGCCUUGGCAGUCAGAGGCGAUGAAAGACGUGGUAGCCUGCGAUAAGCUUCGGGGAGUCGGCAAACAGACUGUGAUCCGGAGAUCUCUGAAUGGGGGAACCCACUCAGCAUAAGCUGGGUAUCUUGUACUGAAUCCAUAGGUACAAGAGGCGAACCAGGGGAACUGAAACAUCUAAGUACCCUGAGGAACAGAAAUCAACCGAGAUUCCCUUAGUAGUGGCGAGCGAACGGGGAUUAGCCCUUAAGCUUCUUUGACUUUAGUAGAACGCUCUGGAAAGUGCGGCCAUAGUGGGUGAUAGCCCCGUAUACGAAAGGGUCUUAGAAGUGAAAUCGAGUAGGACGGAGCACGAGAAACUUUGUCUGAAUAUGGGGGGACCAUCCUCCAAGGCUAAAUACUACUGACUGACCGAUAGUGAACCAGUACCGUGAGGGAAAGGCGAAAAGAACCCCGGAGAGGGGAGUGAAAUAGAACCUGAAACCGUAUGCGUACAAGCAGUGGGAGCCUACUUAGUUAGGUGACUGCGUACCUUUUGUAUAAUGGGUCAGCGACUUAUUUUCAGUGGCGAGCUUAACCGACUAGGGGAGGCGUAGCGAAAGCGAGUCUUAAUAGGGCGUUUAGUCGCUGGGAAUAGACCCGAAACCGGGCGAUCUAUCCAUGAGCAGGUUGAAGGUUAGGUAACACUGACUGGAGGACCGAACCGACUCCCGUUGAAAAGGUAGCGGAUGACUUGUGGAUCGGAGUGAAAGGCUAAUCAAGCUCGGAGAUAGCUGGUUCUCCUCGAAAGCUAUUUAGGUAGCGCCUCACGUAUCACUCCAGGGGGUAGAGCACUGUUUCGGCUAGGGGGUCAUCCCGACUUACCAAACCGAUGCAAACUCCGAAUACCUGGAAGUGUCAGCGUGGGAGACACACGGCGGGUGCUAACGUCCGUCGUGAAAAGGGAAACAACCCAGACCGUCAGCUAAGGUCCCAAAGUUGUAGUUAAGUGGGAAACGAUGUGGGAAGGCUUAGACAGCUAGGAGGUUGGCUUAGAAGCAGCCACCCUUUAAAGAAAGCGUAAUAGCUCACUAGUCGAGUCGGCCUGCGCGGAAGAUGUAACGGGGCUCAAACUACACACCGAAGCUACGGGUUCGUCGUAAGGCGAGCGGUAGAGGAGCGUUCUGUAAGCCUGUGAAGGUGAGUUGAGAAGCUUGCUGGAGGUAUCAGAAGUGCGAAUGCUGACAUGAGUAACGACAAUGGGUGUGAAAAACACCCACGCCGAAAGACCAAGGGUUCCUGCGCAACGUUAAUCGACGCAGGGUGAGUCGGUCCCUAAGGCGAGGCUGAAAAGCGUAGUCGAUGGGAAACGGGUUAAUAUUCCCGUACUUCUAGUUACUGCGAUGGGGGGACGGAGAAGGCUAGGCCAGCAAGGCGUUGGUUGUCCUUGUUUAAGGUGGUAGGCCGAACACUUAGGCAAAUCCGGGUGUUCAAGGCCGAGAGCUGAUGACGAGCGUUCUUUUAGAAUGCGAAGUGGUUGAUGCCAUGCUUCCAGGAAAAGCCUCUAAGCUUCAGGUAACUAGGAACCGUACCCCAAACCGACACAGGUGGUCGGGUAGAGAAUACCAAGGCGCUUGAGAGAACUCGGGUGAAGGAACUAGGCAAAAUGGCACCGUAACUUCGGGAGAAGGUGCGCCGGUGAGGGUUAAGGAUUUACUCCGUAAGCCCAUGCCGGUCGAAGAUACCAGGCCGCUGCGACUGUUUAUUAAAAACACAGCACUCUGCAAACACGAAAGUGGACGUAUAGGGUGUGACGCCUGCCCGGUGCCGGAAGGUUAAUUGAUGGGGUUAGCGAAAGCGAAGCUCUUGAUCGAAGCCCCGGUAAACGGCGGCCGUAACUAUAACGGUCCUAAGGUAGCGAAAUUCCUUGUCGGGUAAGUUCCGACCUGCACGAAUGGCGUAACGAUGGCGGCGCUGUCUCCACCCGAGACUCAGUGAAAUUGAAAUCGCUGUGAAGAUGCAGUGUAUCCGCGGCUAGACGGAAAGACCCCGUGAACCUUUACUGUAGCUUUGCACUGGACUUUGAGCCUGCUUGUGUAGG
rnacentral:rRNA from 1 species